rnacentral:lncRNA from 1 species
GACCUUUAGCAAUGAAAACUUGGUUACUUAAAAAUCAUUGUUACUCAUUGGCUGAUUUUCAGAAAUAUUGGGCUGUCAUUGACUGACUGGCAUUCAGAAGCAUGGUUAAUGAUGCAAAGCUGUCAUUGAUCAACUAGGAUGGAUUUAGAAUUGGUUCUAGAGAUUAUUUGCUGGCAAUGGCUGAAAAGAACCAAUCCCUUCUAUGAAGUUUGGGCAUGUUCUACUUUGUGCACACAGCUAUCAACAUCCACUAUUGACAAACUGUUGACACCACUGUGGAAUUAUCUGCCAGUUGUUAGUACUUUUUGAGGACAGCAUUUCACGUAACCAGGAACAAAGCAGAACCAAUGUAUGCACAUGAUCAGUAUCUUCCACUGAAGACAUGAGAGGACAUGAGCAAUAUGGUGACAGUCUCAAGUCUCUGCCUCAGCAAAUAAUGUGGCAUAGAAAAGGCCUUCCACUGGGAACCAGGUGAGCUGGUACAAAGUCUAAGAUAAAAUUUAGUGUGGUUAUUUAACCCUCUUUCUGUUUCUGUCUCAUGCGCACAUUUGCAUAU